rnacentral:other from 1 species
UGUUCCCUGGGGUGUCGGAGUUUGGUUAAGUCCCUGAGCCGAUAAAUUUUAUACCAGGAUUUCUGUUCGUCUACUAUUGUGCAAGCUCGGCAUGUACCGAGAAGCCUACGGUAGACCGCAGCUUUCCGCCCUGAAACCUUCUGGUUUCAGGACUGACGCCGAACACCACACGCUUGGGGAACAC